UCGUAGGCAGGAAACAAUGCCUCAAGAAG
rnacentral:misc_RNA from 1 species